ACGCGUGAAGUUGACCGCCUNGNNAGUACGNUCNNAAGANUAAAACUCAAAGGGAAUUGACGGGGACCCGCACAAGCGGUGGAUGAUGUGGAUUAAUUNGAUGCNACGCGNAAAACCUUACCUACCCUUGACAUGCCACUAACGAAGACAGAGAUGCAUUAGGUGCUCGAAAGAGAAAGUGGACACAGGUGCUGCAUGGCUGUCGUCAGCUCGUGUCGUGAGAUGUUGGGUUAAGUCCCGCAACGAGCGCAACCCUUGUCUCUUAGUUGUCUACGAAAGGGCACUCUAGAGAGACUGCCGGUGACAAACCGGAGGAAGGUGGGGAUGACGUCAAGUCCUCAUGGCCCUUAUGGGUAGGGCUUCACACGUCAUACAAUGGUGCAUACAGAGGGUUGCCAAGCCGCGAGGUGGAGACUAAUCCGCAGAAUAAUGCAUCGUAGUACCGGAUCGUANNCUGCAACUGACUNNNNNCGUGAAGCUGGAAUNGNNNNNNAUCGCGGAUCAGCAUGCCGCGGUGUACAGUUACGUCCCGGGUNUUGNACACACCGCCCGUCACACCAUGGUGAGUGGNCUUUA
rnacentral:rRNA from 1 species